rnacentral:rRNA from 1 species
UACAGAGGUGGCAAGCGUUGUUCGGAAUUACUGGGCGUAAAGGGCGCGUAGGCGGCCUUCUAAGUCAGACGUGAAAUCCCCCGGCUUAACCUGGGAACUGCGUCUGAUACUGGGAGGCUUGAGUAUGGGAGAGGGAUGUAGAAUUCCAGGUGUAGCGGUGAAAUGCGUAGAUAUCUGGAGGAACACCGGUGGCGAAGGCGCACAUCUGGCCCGAUACUGACGCUGAGGCGCGAAAGCUAGGGGAGCAAACGGG